AACUAAUGAUUAUACAAAUUUGCCUUUGAGAAUCUCCUGAUAUCAAAUAACAGAUGUUUAAUGCUUGCACUACUUUCUGUGUGGAUAGCAAGUUUGGCUUGUCUUUUACAUUU